rnacentral:rRNA from 1 species
UACGGGGGGGGCAAGCGUUGUUCGGAAUUACUGGGCGUAAAGGGCGCGUAGGCGGACUACUAAGUCAGGGGUGAAAUCCCGGGGCUCAACCCCGGAACUGCCUUUGAUACUGAUAGUCUCGAGUCCGGAAGAGGUGAGUGGAAUUCCGAGUGUAGAGGUGAAAUUCGUAGAUAUUCGGAGGAACACCAGUGGCGAAGGCGGCUCACUGGUCCGGCACUGACGCUGAGGUGCGAAAGCGUGGGGAGCAAACAGG